UUAAAAUUUAAAAUUAUUGUCAAAGAAGUAUUAGUUAAGUUCUUAAAAUUUAAAAAAUUUGGCGGUAUUUUAGUCUAUUCAGAGGAACCUGUUCUGUAAUUGAUAGUCCACGAUAAAUUAUAUUUUAUUUAAUUAAUUUGUAUAUCGUUGUUAUUAAAUAUUUUAUAAGAAUAAUAAUAUUUAAGAUUUUAAAUUAAUAAAUAUUUCAGAUCAAGGUGCAGUUUAUAGUAAAAUAGAAAUGGGUUACAAUAAAUUUAUUUAAUAUGAAUAUUUAUAUGAAAAUUUAUUUUGAAGGUGGAUUUGAUAGUAAUAUAAUUAAUAUAAAUUAUGUGAUUUAAGCUCUAAAAUGUGU
rnacentral:rRNA from 1 species